rnacentral:rRNA from 1 species
UACAGGGGGGGCAAGCGUUGUUCGGAAUUACUGGGCGUAAAGGGUCUGUAGGUGGCCAACUAAGUCAGACGUGAAAUCCCUCAGCUUAACUGGGGAACUGCGUCUGAUACUGGAUGGCUCGAGUGUGGGAGAGGAAUGCGGAAUUCCAGGUGUAGCGGUGAAAUGCGUAGAUAUCUGGAGGAACACCGGUGGCGAAGGCGGGUCUCUGGGCCGUUACUGACGCUGAGGAGCGAAAGCAUGGGGAGCGAACAGG